rnacentral:rRNA from 2 species
CCCGUGUUUAUCGUACCUUGUUGCUUCGGCGGGCCCGCCUCACGGCCGCCGGGGGGCAUCCGCCCCCGGGCCCGCGCCCGCCGAAGACACACAAACGAACUCUUGUCUGAAGAUUGCAGUCUGAGUACUUGACUAAAUCAGUUAAAACUUUCAACAACGGAUCUCUUGGUUCCGGCAUCGAUGAAGAACGCAGCGAAAUGCGAUAAGUAAUGUGAAUUGCAGAAUUCAGUGAAUCAUCGAGUCUUUGAACGCACAUUGCGCCCCCUGGUAUUCCGGGGGGCAUGCCUGUCCGAGCGUCAUUGCUGCCCUCAAGCACGGCUUGUGUGUUGGGCUCUCGCCCCCCGCUUCCGGGGGGCGGGCCCGAAAGGCAGCGGCGGCACCGCGUCCGGUCCUCGAGCGUAUGGGGCUUCGUCACCCGCUCUGUAGGCCCGGCCGGCGCCCGCCGGCGAACACCAUCAAUCUUAACCAGGUUGACCUCGGAUCAGGUAGGGAUACCCGCUGAACUUAAGCAUAUCAAU